GAGAGUUAGAAGAGGGGCCUCAAGAUUUAGAAGUUACAGUCCUCACAGAGCUAUGUGUGAGGACACUGGAUGAAUUUACACAGUCUGUGCAUAAGCUAAACCAACUUCCAGCUCCAUUUACAUUCUAAGACUGAAAUAAUCUGUUGGAACAGUGAUGUCACUGUGGGGACUGUCAUGUGGUGACAAGUGACGCCUUUCUCCUCUACUGCUGCUUACAGGACUUUGACCUGGUAAGCCUGAUUCCUGCCCUGACCCUGCCAUGGGCACCAGGCUCCUCUGCUGGGUAGUGUUCUAUCUCCUGGGAGCAGAAGUCUCAGAAGCUGGAGUCAGUCAGUCUCCCAGACAUGAGAUUGUACAGGAAAGGGAGGUUGUUGAGUUUCAGUGUGAUCCUAUCCCUGGCCAUAUUGUACUUUACUGGUACCAGCAGACACCAGGUCAGGGUCUUAAGCUUCUAGUUUACUUUCAAAAUGAUGCUGUUAUGGAUGAUUCACAGUUGAACAAGGAUCGGUUUUCUGCUGAGAGGCCUAAAGGAAAUAACUCUACUCUGAAGAUCCAGUCUGUGGAGCGAGGUGACUCAGCCACAUACCUCUGCGCCAGCAGUUUAGCCACAGCAAUGCAGAGCUGCUUCCCUGCUGUACACAAAGCCCAAGGCUUUUCUCCACUCAGCUCUCAGCAGCCCUGGGCAGAGGCCUCUCCUUAUGCCUCAUCAUCCAUAGACAGGUUGGGUCUGCAGACAUAG